CGGCGACGCGAGCGGUCCGCCACCCGCGACGUCGCGAGAAGUCCACUGAACCUUAUCAUUUAGAGGAAGGAGAAGUCGUAACAAGGUUUCCAUAGGUGAACCUACGGAAGAAUCAUUA
rnacentral:rRNA from 1 species